GGGGAUAUAGCUCAGUUGGUAGAGUGCUUGCCUUACAUGCAUUGAGCUGUGGGUUCAAACCCUAGCACCA
rnacentral:tRNA from 1 species